UACGUAGGGUGCGAGCGUUACUCGGAAUUACUGGGCGUAAAGCGUGCGCAGGCGGUCUGUUAAGUCCGAUGUGAAAUCCCCGGGCUUAACCUGGGAACUGCAUUGGUGACUGGCAGGCUUUGAGUGUGGCAGAGGGAGGUAGAACUCCACGUGUAGCAGUGAAAUGCGUAGAGAUGUGGAGGAAUACCGAUGGCGAAGGCAGCCUGCUGGGCCAACACUGACGCUCAUGCACGAAAGCGUGGGGAGCAAACAGG
rnacentral:rRNA from 1 species